rnacentral:rRNA from 1 species
GAGGGGUAUAGUUCUUCGGAACUAGAGACCGGCGCACGGGUGCGUAACGCGUAUGCAAUCUACCUUUCACAAAGGGAUAGCCCAGAGAAAUUUGGAUUAAUACCUUAUAGUAUAUAUGAAUGGCAUCAUUUAUAUAUUAAAGAUUUAUCGGUGAAAGAUGAGCAUGCGUCCCAUUAGCUUGUUGGUAAGGUAACGGCUUACCAAGGCAACGAUGGGUAGGGGUCCUGAGAGGGAGAUCCCCCACACUGGUACUGAGACACGGACCAGACUCCUACGGGAGGCAGCAGUGAGGAAUAUUGGACAAUGGGCGCAAGCCUGAUCCAGCCAUGCCGCGUGCAGGAUGACGGUCCUAUGGAUUGUAAACUGCUUUUAUACAGGAAGAAACACUACUUCGUGAAGUAGCUUGACGGUACUGUAAGAAUAAGGAUCGGCUAACUCCGUGCCAGCAGCCGCGGUAAUACGGAGGAUCCAAGCGUUAUCCGGAAUCAUUGGGUUUAAAGGGUCCGUAGGCGGUCAGAUAAGUCAGUGGUGAAAGCCCAUCGCUCAACGGUGGAACGGCCAUUGAUACUGUCUGACUUGAAUUAUUAGGAAGUAACUAGAAUAUGUAGUGUAGCGGUGAAAUGCUUAGAGAUUACAUGGAAUACCAAUUGCGAAGGCAGGUUACUACUAAUUGAUUGACGCUGAUGGACGAAAGCGUGGGUAGCGAACAGGAUUAGAUACCCUGGUAGUCCACGCCGUAAACGAUGGAUACUAGCUGUUGGGAGCAAUCUCAGUGGCUAAGCGAAAGUGAUAAGUAUCCCACCUGGGGAGUACGUUCGCAAGAAUGAAACUCAAAGGAAUUGACGGGGGCCCGCACAAGCGGUGGAGCAUGUGGUUUAAUUCGAUGAUACGCGAGGAACCUUACCAAGGCUUAAAUGUAGAUUGACCGGUUUGGAAACAGACUUUUCGCAAGACAAUUUACAAGGUGCUGCAUGGUUGUCGUCAGCUCGUGCCGUGAGGUGUCAGGUUAAGUCCUAUAACGAGCGCAACCCCUGUCGUUAGUUGCCAGCGAGUCAUGUCGGGAACUCUAACGAGACUGCCAGUGCAAACUGAGAGGAAGGUGGGGAUGACGUCAAAUCAUCACGGCCCUUACGCCUUGGGCUACACACGUGCUACAAUGGCCGGUACAGAGAGCAGCCACUGGGUGACCAGGAGCGAAUCUAUAAAACCGGUCACAGUUCGGAUCGGAGUCUGCAACUCGACUCCGUGAAGCUGGAAUCGCUAGUAAU